GCCAGCAUGGUGCUGUGGUUUGGAUGCUGGACUACUACUCUGGAGAUCAGGGUUCGAUUUCCCCACGCAAGCA